GACGAACGCUGGCGGUGUGCUUAACACAUGCAAGUCGAACGGUAAGGCCCUUUCGGGGGUACACGAGUGGCGAACGGGUGAGUAACACGUGAGUAACCUGCCCUCAUCUCUGGGAUAACAGUCGGAAACGGUUGCUAAUACUGGAUAUGAGCUUGCAAGGCAUCUUGUGGGUUGGAAAGAUUUUUUGGUUGGGGAUGGACUCGCGGCCUAUCAGCUUGUUGGUGAGGUAGUGGCUCACCAAGGCUUCGACGGGUAGCCGGCCUGAGAGGGCGACCGGCCACAUUGGGACUGAGAUACGGCCCAAACUCCUACGGGAGGCAGCAGUGGGGAAUAUUGCACAAUGGACGGAAGUCUGAUGCAGCAACGCCGCGUGCGGGAUGACGGCCUUCGGGUUGUAAACCGCUUUCAAUUGUGACGAAGCUUUUUGUGACGGUAGCAGUAGAAGAAGCACCGGCUAACUACGUG
rnacentral:rRNA from 1 species